rnacentral:rRNA from 1 species
UAGGGAAUUUUGCACAAUGGACGCAAGUCUGAUGCAGCAACACUGCGUGAAGGAUGAAGGUUUUCGGAUCGUAAACUUCUUUUACGAGGGAAUAAAUAUGAAGGUACCUCGUGAAUAAGCACCGGCUAACUACGUGCCAGCAGCCGCGGUAAUACGUAGGGUGCGAACAUUAUCCGGAUUUAUUGGGCGUAAAGAGCUCGUAGGUUGUUUUGCAAGUCUGGUAUGAAAGAUCUGGGCCCAACCCAGGGAACGUAUCGGAAACUACAUAACUAGAGGUGUACAGGGGAAGAUGGAACUUGUAGUGUAGCAGUGAAAUGCGUAGAUAUUACAAGGAACGCCGAUGGUGAAGACAGUCUUCUGGGUACCACCUGACACUGAGGAGCGAAAGCGUGGGGAGCGAACGGG